CUAUAGAUCUAGUUCAUAUGCUGAAAUUAAUAUAAACUAAUUUUAGGAUGAAUGAAUGAAAGCUUGUAAUCAGUUCAUAUACCUGAAUUGCUUUCUCUUUGCUUCAAACCUAUAAUUGGGGUUGAAUCCAAUUUAAUCCUUAGAUCUGGGGCUGAAUAGGUUCUAAAUCAGCAGCACAAGCAUCCUACCUCUAUGAGUAUCCACAGGAC
rnacentral:lncRNA from 1 species